CUACGGGUUGCUCCAGUGGGGAAUAUUGGACAAUGGGGGAAACCCUGAUCCAGCAAUGCCGCGUGUGUGAAGAAGGCCUGCGGGUUGUAAAGCACUUUCGGUUGGGAGGACUGCUUCUAGCACUAAUAUUGUUGGAAGUUGACGUUACCUUCAGAAGAAGCACCGGCUAACUCCGUGCCAGUAGGCCGCGGUAAUACGGAGGGUGCAAGCGUUAAUCGGAAUUACUGGGCGUAAAGCGCGCGUAGGCGGCUAGAUCAGUCGGGUGUGAAAGCCCCGGGCUUAACCUGGGAACUGCAUCCGAUACUGUCUAGCUUGAGUACAGGAGAGGAGAGUGGAAUUCCACAUGUAGCGGUGAAAUGCGUAGAUAUGUGGAGGAACACCAAUGGCGAAGGCAGCUCUCUGGCCUGAUACUGACGCUGAGGUGCGAAAGCGUGGGGAGCAAACAGGAUUAGAUACCCCCGUAGUC
rnacentral:rRNA from 1 species